UAAACAGUUGACCAACAAAAUACAAGGCUCAGACCAUGGUCAACUGGAUCUGCACAGAAACAUCAGGAUGGAAGUGCAUGGUGGAGCAAAGCUACUCACUGCAUGGUGGCUAGGAGCAGAAGAGAGGGGGAAGAAUACAAAUACAAAUGAGAGACAUGCCCUUCAAUCCUGUUCCCCUCUGGAUCCUUCCAGAAGAACCACUUCACUGUGACGAGUGUGGGUUGGAGCAGAGCUUAGAAGGAAGGGAGAUGCCAUCCUCACCAGGUAAACACUGGUCCUGCAUCUGCAGACACCACAGGAACUUCUGGCCAGAACACUACUUCCAAAGCCCAGGGCAAAUCCAAACACUGCUCCCACUGUGGGCAUCUGCGCCAAGACCUGCAGUGUCCUCUACCUACACGCUUGCCUCCUAGGCUUUGUGAAAA
rnacentral:lncRNA from 1 species